UCAGUGGAAUAAGUUAUAGGUUUGAAGAAUAAAAUAGUCAAUGGGCAGAGAGAGGCGUGAGUAGGAAAUGAGUUAUGUCACUAGUAAAUGUCUGAGGCUGGAUUUGAAUUUGGGCUGGCUCCGGGUUCAGGGCUCUAUCCUUAGGCUGCCCAUUUGUGCUUAGAGGGCUAUAGCCAAAACUGCCUGGUUUUGAAUCCGGUCUCAGACCAUUAGUAGUUACCACUUGAUCUAACUGGCCUUCAGUUUCCUUCUCUAUAAACUGGGGUGGUUGGGCCUUCUGGCUCUGAAGAGACAUUACUGGGACUCUGAGCCGGACUGGAUUCCCAAGUGCCCACACCUUGGGACAGUCACAGAGCAGCUUAGGAAGCCCUGGCCUGCUGGCUUGGGUCCAGCCCACCCAUGCUAAGAUAUCAAGGUCAAGGUCAGCUUGGGCCUCGGAGUUCUGCAAGGAGGGCCAAAGCUGCGCCCUCCCCGGAAGGGUCACGUUGGCGUUUGUCAGUUGCGGACAAUGGGACACGAUCGCUUAAGCCAUGUCCGUAGAGAGAUCACAAAGGGGAGCCGAGGAGGCCAGCAGUGCUGAGAUACCCGCAGGAUGCACAGGUACCAAGAAGCCAGGCAAUGAGCACCGGUACAAAGCCCGAGCUAGGAGAAAGGGGACGGGGAGGAAGGGAGAUGGGGAAGGGAAGACAGAGAGGCAGCAGGGCUGCGGGGCUAGGAGCCAGUGCAGACGCCCAGUCCCAGCAGGCUAGGCAGGCCGGGGCAGGGAGCCGAGGCACCUAGCGACGGUGACAUGCACACACAGGCAGGCGUGUGGAGACGUGCCGAACCCCCGACGCUCGUGUCCUUUCCCCUCAGAGGCCUAGCCACACAGAUUGCCCGACCGUGUUGUGCAGACCCCCUGCACGCGAAUACACACGGAAAUGCAGGGACCCCCUUCCACAGGCGCACACACCCUGCCCCCCACUGUCCCGGGAACCCAGCGACAGAUCUAGCUAUGCACUCUGCACACAUCAACACAGGCAUCUAUUUUCCAGCACACACUUACAUGAAGACCUGAACCCUCCACCCCCAACCUUCCUAAAACAGACAAAUUCACAGAUACAGACCACACACACACACACACACACACACACACACACACACACACACGCACACAUACUCCCACACUCCUUGGGCUGGGGACUGAGCUCUCUCCCAGUGGAGGAAAUUGGCUUUCCACAAAGACAUGGCUCCUAACUAUCUCCUCUUUCUCCCCAGGAUCCCCUUAUCUCCAGAGGCCAGAGACAGGAAAACCAGUGGUAAGGGGUUGACAGCGUGAGGAUAUGUCGAGUAACUGGGGCUACACAGGGGAUGGGGGUGGGGCCCCCUCUGGAGAAUGGAUUUUCUUCCAUUCCUGGGGCCCCAGGGCUAACCUUGCUGUCACCUUCCAUCAGGUUCCUUCCUAAGAGCACAGACGUGUCCAGAACACAUGAAAUACACAGCUGGGACAGGCCUGGGCCCCAAAGUUGGACUGAGGGAGCUCAGAAGCCCCGAGACCCUCUUUCUUCCUAGAGAAUCCCAUGUGACAUUCUGCCUUCCCUCCUCCCAACCGCUGGCCCAGCUGGCUUUGGGAAAAGCAGGAUACAGAAGCAGAAGAAAAGAUACCCACAUAGGGCCCCAAGCCCAGCCUGGCAGCCGGUAAGCUGACCCUACCCUUUUGGGGUACGGAAAGGGGAGCUCGGAAAAGUGCUCAUCAGGGUUCAGAAAGGUGUGAGUCUGGCCCCUCUCCCCUGAUUCCGAGCCACAGUUUGGCCGGAAAGAAGGGAGUUGGGGGUGUUUGGCUUGAAGCUGGAAUGGGAGGAGAGGGUGGAUAGUGUCCCAGGAAUGGGAUGGGUGGCCCUGGCACGUGCCCACCCCAGCCUCUGUGCCCUCCCCGGCUCCUCCUCCUCUCCUUGAAAUGAAUUGCCAGCCUUAGGGGUUCAAUGCCUGCCUUUGUCUAGCAGAAGGGAGGGGGCAGGGGGCCCGGGGACAGAGGCCUAGCUGAUAAAAGGCAACACAGUACCCAAGACCUUCCUCCCCCCGCCCCCCAGUGAGUGACUGUCUCCCCUGUGGCAUGCCCCCCUCAGCCCUCCCUGGAUUAACCCCGAGCAUUCUGGAUCAGGCUGGCCCCACAUUCCCUCUCUCACACGGUGACCUUUGUGCAGUCCGGGGACACAGAUCCCCUUAUUCCUGCCCUGCCGGGCUCGGGCCAGAAACGGCUGGUGGGACCGACCCCGGUGGGAAAAUGCCCAAGAGAGGGAAUGUGGGAUGAGGGGAAGGGAACAGAGCCCCUUCUUCACCUGAUACGGAAAGGGUGGGGCCCAGAGAUGGCACCUCAGCACAUUUCCUCGCAACUACCUUCAUGGCCCCAGGUAUGGAAAACGGCGGUCACAAGACCCACCCUUCCUGGCCACCUA